rnacentral:rRNA from 1 species
UACGGGGGGGGUAAGCGUUGUUCGGAAUUACUGGGCGUAAAGGGCUCGUAGGCGGCCAACUAAGUCAGACGUGAAAUCCCUCAGCUUAACUGGGGAUCUGCGUCUGAUACUGGAUGGCUUGGAUUCGGGAGAGGAAUGCGGAAUUCCAGGUGUAGCGGUGAAAUGCGUAGAUAUCUGGAGGAACACCGGUGGCGAAGGCGGCAUUCUGGACCGAUAUUGACGCUGAGGAGCGAAAGCCAGGGGAGCAAACGGG